rnacentral:lncRNA from 1 species
CUGGGCUCCAGCCUCAGUUUGCAUGUAGGUUACACUUUACCAAAAGUGCUGCAUACAAAUAGCAACCUUUAUAAAUGUUGCCAUUUGUAUGUUUGCAUGUCUUAAAUUUAAAAAAAUUACAUUAUCAAACAAGCUGUUAACGAUGUUUGCUAGUUACCUUUUCAAUGGUAACUGUGGUGGGAAUAGAAGGAACACAACCAAAAAAACCAAGAUGGCUGACGUGGUAGCAUGAAGGGCCUGGUGUGAAGACAGCCGGUUCAGCCCGGUUCUGCACAGAUGAGACGGAAGCCUCGUCAUGGAGUUUGGAGGAUGAGGAAGGGAUUGGCCGGGGUGCUCACGCUAACCUCCAAGGCUCAUGUUACCGUCAGUCAUCUUUCCAGGUGUUUCAGGGGUCCGUGGACAUGAACGCCUGUCACACCGGAGUCCCGGUGACGGGUCGGGGCAGCCGUCGGUUGAGUUACGCUGUCUGUCGACCCGCCCCGCGUUGGGGUCCGUACGACUGGACGGCCUCCCCACUUCAUCACAUUGGAUUAAGUCGAGCGUCUCGA